AGCAGCCGCGGUAAUUCCAGCUCCAAUAGCGUAUAUUAAAGUUGUUGCAGUUAAAAAGCUCGUAGUUGAAUUUCGGGAUCAGUAGGCUGGUCGUGCCACAGGUAUGUACUGGUCUCACUGAUUCCUCCUUCCUGAAGAACCGUAAUGCCAUUAAUUUGGUGUUGCGGGGAAACAGGACUGUUACUUUGAAAAAAUUAGAGUGUUUAAAGCAGGCUUAACGCUUAGAAUACAUUUAGCAUGGAAUAAUGAAAUAGGACGAUCGAUCCUAUUUUGUUGGUUUCUAGGAUUGACGUAAUGAUUAAUAGGGAUAGUUGGGGGCAUUAGUAUUCAAUUGUCAGAGGUGAAAUUCUUGGAUUUAUUGAAGACUAACUACUGCGAAAGCAUUUGCCAAGGAUGUUUCAUUAAUCAAGAACGAAAGUUAGGGGAUCGAAGACGAUCAGAUACCGUCGU
rnacentral:rRNA from 1 species